rnacentral:lncRNA from 1 species
AUGGAGGCAUAUUUUCAGCAGAUCCCAUCGCAGACUGGAAGACUACACUUGAAGGAGUCAGUGUCUGAAGAGGAUAUUGCUGUGGAAGGGCCAUCUUAUCACAUGGAAAAGAAACACCAUGUUCAGGAGGAGGGCCCCAGAAUUUUUUCAGCAGAGAACAGCAAAGAUGGUCAGAACUAUGGAAACAUUAAUCAUAGCUUGUCGCUUAAUGAACACAAGCCAACGCAUUUGGAGAGUCAGUUCAAUUGUGACAAAUGCCUUGUACAGACUGAACUAAGUCAUCCUGGAGAGGCACUACUCAUAUAUGAGGAGGACUGUGAUGCCUCCACAUGGCCUCAUCUUUUACUUACUGUGACAUCAUUUAGACUGGAAAGAAGACAUGAAUGUAAUCAGUGUGCAAGAUCUUUCAGCUGUUGCUCUAAGCUUGUACACCAGAGAACACUCUGGAGAAAAGCCCUAUGA